rnacentral:ribozyme from 13 species
AAAAAGAAGAACAAAAAGAAAAACAGAAACAAAAAAAGAAAGAGAAAGAGAAAAAAGAGAAAAAAUGUUUGGACUGGUUCGGACUUCUGCAACUUCUUUUGCUCGAUCUGCUCCCAUUGGAGCAAGAUUUGGAUCCACUGUCACUUUUAAAAU